AAUGGGCGAAAGCCUGACGCAGCCAUGCCGCGUGUGUGAAGAAGGCCUUCGGGUUGUAAAGCACUUUCAAUUGGGAGGAAAGGUUCGUAGUUAAUAACUGCGAGCUGUGACGUUACCUUUAGAAGAAGCACCGGCUAACUCCGUGCCAGCAGCCGCGGUAAUACGGAGGGUGCGAGCGUUAAUCGGAAUGACUGGGCGUAAAGGGCGCGUAGGUGGUUGUUUAAGUUAGAUGUGAAAUCCCUGGGCUUAACCUAGGAACUGCAUUUAAUACUGGGCAACUAGAGUACAGGAGAGGGCAGUGGAAUUUCCGGUGUAGCGGUGAAAUGCGUAGAUAUCGGAAGGAACACCAGUGGCGAAGGCGACUGCCUGGCCUGAUACUGACACUGAGGCGCGAAAGCGUGGGUAGCGAACAGGAUU
rnacentral:rRNA from 1 species